GGGUUGUGAGGUUAAGCGACUAAGCGUACACGGUGGAUGCCCUGGCAGUCAGAGGCGAUGAAGGACGUGCUAAUCUGCGAUAAGCGCCGGUAAGGUGAUAUGAACCGUUAUAACCGGCGAUUUCCGAAUGGGGAAACCCAGUGUGAUUCGUCACACUAUCAUUACGUGAAUACAUAGCGUAAUGAAGCGAACCGGGGGAACUGAAACAUCUAAGUACCCCGAGGAAAAGAAAUCAACCGAGAUUCCCCCAGUAGCGGCGAGCGAACGGGGAGGAGCCCAGAGCCUGAAUCAGCAUGUGUGUUAGUGGAAGCGUCUGGAAAGGCGCGCGAUACAGGGUGACAGCCCCGUACACAAAAGCGCAUGUGCUGUGAGCUCGAUGAGUAGGGCGGGACACGUGGUAUCCUGUCUGAAUAUGGGGGGACCAUCCUCCAAGGCUAAAUACUCCUGACUGACCGAUAGUGAACCAGUACCGUGAGGGAAAGGCGAAAAGAACCCCGGCGAGGGGAGUGAAAAAGAACCUGAAACCGUGUACGUACAAGCAGUGGGAGCCCCACCACUAAGCCAGUGGUGAACUCCACAUACGCAUCCUUUGCUGAGGAUACGGUUAACGGAGCGAAAGCGACGUUCAACCGCAAAAGAAGCAGAGGGGGCUUAGUGGUGGGGUGACUGCGUACCUUUUGUAUAAUGGGUCAGCGACUUAUAUUCUGUAGCAAGGUUAACCGAAUAGGGGAGCCGCAGGGAAACCGAGUCUUAAUUGGGCGUUAAGUUGCAGGGUAUAGACCCGAAACCCGGUGAUCUAGCCAUGGGCAGGUUGAAGGUUGGGUAACACUAACUGGAGGACCGAACCGACUAAUGUUGAAAAAUUAGCGGAUGACCUGUGGCUGGGGGUGAAAGGCCAAUCAAACCGGGAGAUAGCUGGUUCUCCCCGAAAGCUAUUUAGGUAGCGCCUCGUGAAUUCAUCUCCGGGGGUAGAGCACUGUUUCGGCUAGGGGGCCAUCCCGGCUUACCAACCCGAUGCAAACUGCGAAUACCGGAGAAUGUUAUCACGGGAGACACACGGCGGGUGCUAACGUCCGUCGUGAAGAGGGAAACAACCCAGACCGCCAGCUAAGGUCCCAAAGUCAUGGUUAAGUGGGAAACGAUGUGGGAAGGCCCAGACAGCCAGGAUGUUGGCUUAGAAGCAGCCAUCAUUUAAAGAAAGCGUAAUAGCUCACUGGUCGAGUCGGCCUGCGCGGAAGAUGUAACGGGGCUAAACCAUGCACCGAAGCUGCGGCAGCGACGCUGAUGCGUUGUUGGGUAGGGGAGCGUUCUGUAAGCCUGUGAAGGUGUGUCGUGAGGCAUGCUGGAGGUAUCAGAAGUGCGAAUGCUGACAUAAGUAACGAUAAAGCGGGUGAAAAGCCCGCUCGCCGGAAGACCAAGGGUUCCUGUCCAACGUUAAUCGGGGCAGGGUGAGUCGACCCCUAAGGCGAGGCCGAAAGGCGUAGUCGAUGGGAAACGGGUUAAUAUUCCCGUACUUGGUGUUACUGCGAAGGGGGGACGGAGAAGGCUAUGUUGGCCGGGCGACGGUUGUCCCGGUUUAAGCGUGUAGGUGUGUGUUCCAGGUAAAUCCGGUUCACUUUAACACUGAGGCGUGAUGACGAGGCACUACGGUGCUGAAGCAACAAAUGCCCUGCUUCCAGGAAAAGCCUCUAAGCAUCAGGUAACAUCAAAUCGUACCCCAAACCGACACAGGUGGUCAGGUAGAGAAUACCAAGGCGCUUGAGAGAACUCGGGUGAAGGAACUAGGCAAAAUGGUGCCGUAACUUCGGGAGAAGGCACGCUGACAC
rnacentral:rRNA from 1 species